AUGUAUUUGAGGUACGAUCGUUUUUUUUUUAAAGAUUAUUCAUUCAAUAUCAUAAACCACUGCCUGGCUGUGAAAUUCGCCUGUAAUGCUACUUCUUAUUUUGAACAGGCCACAGCUAGGCGUAAAUUGACAUUAAGUUGCCUGCUUCUGCCAAUGCCUUACUACAACAUCAACAUAGACGAAACCUAUCCUCACAGUGGUACUCUACCUGAUGAUGCUUAUCGAAAGCCAUGGUUUCGAGGAAACAUAAUUUCCACCAGCAGUCUGAACAUGAACGGAUCAAUAAUGGAAGACCUAAAGUCUAAAACACUUUCUAUGGAUUCUCUGGAAAAAAUGAGUGCUACUGACCACCUGAAUAAAGAGGAAGCUUUGGAGAUAGUCCCCAGCUCCAAUCCUGCUUCCCAGGCCUAUCCCGAGGCAGAGGAGGCCCUUUGGCUGGUCACCCAGAGAAAGAGUGAAGCUGGUGUAUCCCUGGUAGACGACUUUACCAGGGCGCCAGGAAACACCAUGAGUGUGGGUCAUGAAGAGCUUCAACUUGAGGAGUUGCUGGUUAGCUCCCCCCUACACCAGUUCAGGAAGAACAUGCCGCCUUUACGGGCCAAACUGAGCCGGUUGAAAGCUGUGUUGGUACCGGACCCCCUACAAAUCCUAAUGGGAGGUUCCCUGUCUGAGGAUAGGAUUUUCGGGAGAUGUGUGCCCUAUGAUGUCAGUUCAUGUGGUAAUGCAGACAGCUCUCAGAUGGGGUCAAGUGUCAUAGAGGAGUUUAGCAAGGUGUCACCUCAGGAUGAAGAGGUAUUUAAAAAAAAGGUCUAUUGUGAAAUGCUCAAGCGGGUUGUUUAAUCACAACAUGAUUUUCGUAAGAACUUAAAAUGUCUUACAUCUUACAUGUGUUUCACUGUCCUUAAUGUUGCUGUCUGGUUUUAUACGUGUUUCACUGUCCUUAAUGUUGCUGUCUGGUUUUAUACGUGUUUCACUGUCCAUAAUGUUGUUUGAUGUUUUACAUCUUACACGUGUUUCAGUCCUUAAUGUUGCUUGAAGUGGAAUCCUGUACCAUGCACAAAGCCUCCUUCAACACUUCUCUAGCAUACCUCUCUAAUACUCUACAAGUAAAACAAGAGCCUGAUGGAGACCAGGUCUCGUGUGUAGAGAUGCUUAAAAAAGGUGAGCUACCUGGAAACCUCAACUUUAGCUACGGGAAUGAGUUUAUCAACAGUUCUGUUAGAGCCCUGCUAGCGUU
rnacentral:lncRNA from 1 species